GUUUCUAUAGAUUAAGCAAAUUACGAAGCUGUUAACUUCGGGAUACUGGUUUUCAGUUAGAAACG
rnacentral:tRNA from 1 species